CCUGCACCUGCCGGCGACCGGCGCACGGGUGAGUAACACGUAUGGAACCUGCCCGCCACAGGGGGAUAACCCGGGGAAACCCGGCCUAAUACCCCAUGCCGCCCGGACCGGGCAUCCGGUCCGGGCGAAAGGAGGAAUCCGGUGGCGGCUGGGCAUGCGGCGCAUUAGCUUGACGGCGGGGUAACGGCUCACCGUGGCGACGAUGCGUAGGGGUUCUGAGAGGAAGGCCCCCCACACUGGGACUGAGACACGGCCCAGACUCCUACGGAAGGCAGCAG
rnacentral:rRNA from 1 species